AGCUUUGUGCACUGGCAGUAUCGUGGCCAAUGAGGUUUAUCUGUGGCACAAUUAUUGCUAAUUGAAACAUUUAGAUAAACUAUCUUUACACAAAGUUUCUUGAAGUCCUUCAAACACUGACUUUAUCAAUGCAAGAUAGCAGAGGA